UACGUAGGGGGCUAGCGUUGUCCGGAUUUAUUGGGCGUAAAGAGCGUGUAGGCGGCUUUACAGGUCCGUUGUGAAAACUCGAGGCUCAACCUCGAGACGCCGGUGGAAACCGUAAGGCUAGAGUCCGGAAGAGGAGAGUGGAAUUCCUGGUGUAGCGGUGAAAUGCGCAGAUAUCAGGAAGAACACCCGUGGCGAAGGCGGCUCUCUGGGACGGUACUGACGCUGAGACGCGAAAGCGUGGGGAGCGAACAGG
rnacentral:rRNA from 1 species